AGAGUUUGAUCAUGGCUCAGAUUGANCGCUGGCGGAAUGCUUUACACAUGCAAGUCGAACGGUAGAGGGGGCAACCCCUUGAGAGUGGCGAACGGGUGAGUAAUGUAUCGGAACGUGCCCAGUCGUGGGGGAUAACGUAGUGAAAAUUACGCUAAUACCGCAUACGAUCUAUGGAUGAAAGCGGGGGAUCGCAAGACCUCGCGCGAUUGGAGCGGCCGAUAUCAGAUUAGGUAGUUGGUGGGGUAAAGGCUCACCAAGCCAACGAUCUGUAGCUGGUCUGAGAGGACGACCAGCCACACUGGAACUGAGACACGGUCCAGACUCCUACGGGAGGCAGCAGUGGGGAAUUUUGGACAAUGGACGCAAGUCUGAUCCAGCCAUUCCGCGUGCAGGACGAAGGCCUUCGGGUUGUAAACUGCUUUUGUACGGAACGAAAAAGCUCUUAUUAAUACUAGGAGUCCAUGACGGUACCGUAAGAAUAAGCACCGGCUAACUACGUGCCAGCAGCCGCGGUAAUACGUAGGGUGCAAGCGUUAAUCGGAAUUACUGGGCGUAAAGCGUGCGCAGGCGGUUAUAUAAGACAGAUGUGAAAUCCCCGAGCUUAACUUGGGAACUGCAUUUGUGACUGUAUAGCUAGAGUACGGCAGAGGGGGAUGGAAUUCCGCGUGUAGCAGUGAAAUGCGUAGAUAUGCGGAGGAACACCGAUGGCGAAGGCAAUCCCCUGGGCCUGUACUGACGCUCAUGCACGAAAGCGUGGGGAGCAAACAGGAUUAGAUACCCUGGUAGUCCACGCCCUAAACGAUGUCAACUGGUUGUUGGGUCUUCACUGACUCAGUACGAAGCUAACGCG
rnacentral:rRNA from 1 species